GACGAACGCUGGCGGCGUGCUUAACACAUGCAAGUCGAACGAACAGUUAUGGAAUUUUUCUUCUAUCAUUCUUACUGGCGAACGAGUGACAAACGCGUAACCUACCUGUCCUUCUGGGGUAGCUAACGGAAGCAAACGCCUACUCAGGCCACAAUCGAACUCAUCAUGGCAUCGAGUUAAGAGGUAAGUUUGCCUUUCCAUUUAAGGUUGCACCCGAGGCGGGUAAGCUAGUUGGUGAGGUAACGGGCGACCAAGGCGACGACGAGUAGCCGGUUUGAGAGGAUGAACGGCCACACUGGGACUGAGACACGGCCCAGACUCCUACGGGAGGCAGCAGUAGGGAAUCUUCCGCAAUGGACGAAAGUCUGACGGAGCAACGCCGCGUGAGCGAUGACGGCCUUCGGGUUGUAAAGCUCUGUUAAUCGGGACGAAAGGGCUUCUUGCGAAUAGUGAGAAAGAUUGACGGUACCGGAACAGAAAGCCACGGCUAACUACGUG
rnacentral:rRNA from 1 species